UACGUAGGGGGCUAGCGUUGUCCGGAAUCAUUGGGCGUAAAGCGCGUGUAGGCGGUCCGGUAAGUCCGCUGUGAAAGUCGGGGGCUCAACCCUGGAAAGCCGGUGGAUACUGCCGGGCUAGAGUCCGGAAGAGGCGAGUGGAAUCCUGGUGUAGCGGUGGAAUGCGCAGAUAUCAGGAGGAACACCGAUGGCGAAGGCAGCUCGCUGGGACGGUACUGACGCUGAGGCGCGAAAGCGUGGGGAGCGAACAGGAUUAGAACCCAGU
rnacentral:rRNA from 1 species